UAGGGAAUCUUCCGCAAUGGACGCAAGUCUGACGGAGCAACGCCGCGUGAGUGAAGAAGGAUUUCGGUUCGUAAAACUCUGUUGUUAGAGAAGAACAGCGCAUAGAGUAACUGUUAUGCGUGUGACGGUAUCUAACCAGAAAGCCACGGCUAACUACGUGCCAGCAGCCGCGGUAAUACGUAGGUGGCAAGCGUUGUCCGGAUUUAUUGGGCGUAAAGCGAGCGCAGGCGGUCAAUUAAGUCUGAUGUGAAAGCCCCCGGCUCAACCGGGGAGGGUCAUUGGAAACUGGUUGACUUGAGUGCAGAAGAGGAGAGUGGAAUUCCAUGUGUAGCGGUGAAAUGCGUAGAUAUAUGGAGGAACACCAGUGGCGUAGGCGACUCUCUGGUCUGUAACUGACGCUGAGGCUCGAAAGCGUGGGUAGCAAACAGG
rnacentral:rRNA from 1 species